UACGUAGGGUGCGAGCGUUAAUCGGAAUUACUGGGCGUAAAGCGUGCGCAGGCGGUUCGUUAAGUUCGUUGUGAAAGCCCCGGGCUCAACCUGGGAACUGCAAUGGAAACUGGCGGGCUUGAAUGCGGCAGAGGGGGGGUGGAAUUCCGCGUGUAGCAGUGAAAUGCGUAGAGAUGCGGAGGAACACCGAUGGCGAAGGCAGCCCCCCUGGGCCUGCACUGACGCUCAUGCACGAAAGCGUGGGGAGCAAACAGG
rnacentral:rRNA from 1 species